rnacentral:rRNA from 1 species
UGACAGAUCUAUACAUCAAGUUGCAUGCUCUGAGUAAAAAUAAUCAGUUUGAUAUCGUCCAUAGUACUAUAAAUGCAAGAUUUCGUAUGCCAUCUAGCAUCACUCAGUGAAAUCACAGCCCGUCGCUAGCUACCUGAGCUGCGCCACACCGCCCGUGAAUUAACUAGCCGGCCAGUAGCCAUGUCGGCGGAAGACUCGGACCACGGCGGCGCCGUCCACGUCCUCCUGCUCCCGUACCCGAGCCAGGGCCACAUCAACCCGUUCCUCCAGUUCGGCAAGCGACUCGCCUCCCACGCCGGCGUCCGCUGCACGCUCGCCGUCACGCGCUAUCUGCUUGGCCAGGGCCGGGACCCGUGCCCGGGCGCCGUCCACCUCGCCGAGAUCUCCGACGGCUUCGACUGCGGCGGCUUCGCCGAGGCCGCCGGCGACGUCGCCGCGUACCUCGCCCGGCUGGAGUCCGUCGGCUCCCGCACCGUCGACGAGUUGCUGCGGUCUGAGGCGGAGAAGGGCCGGCCCGUGCGCGCCGUCGUGUACGACGCGUUACUGCAGCCGUGGGCGCCAAGCGUGGCGCGGCGGCACGGCGCUGCGUGCGCGUCCCUCUUCACGCAGGCGCCCGCAGUGAACGUAGCCUACGCGCACGCCGGGGCUGGGCGGCUGACAGUGCCGGUUGUAGCUGGCACGGUGCCGCCGGAGCUUCUCGGGCUGCCGGCCGGGCUUGGACCGGACGAUGUGCCGUCAUUCUUGGGCAAACCCGACGAGUGCCCUGCGUCCCUGGACCUGCUGGUGACUGGUGAGACAGUUCGUGGGCCUCGACGCCGCCGACCACGUGCUCGUCAACUCCUUCCAUGAGCUGCAGCCACUGGUAUGAGUUAAGCACAUCGAUCACUAACAGUCACCCUCACUCGCUAUCAAUUAACUAGGAAUCGGAGUACAUGGCGUCGAUGUGCGGGGCCAAGACGGUGGGCCCGACGGUGCCGUCGGCGUACCUCGACAACCGCCUGCCGGACGACGCGUCCUACGGCUUCCACCUGCACACGCCGACGACGGCCGCGACCAAGGCGUGGCUGGACGCCCGGCCGGCGCGCUCCGUCGCGUACGUCUCCUUCGGCAGCAUCGCCGCGCUGGGGCUGGAGCAGAUGGCGGAGGUGGCGGAGGGCCUUUUCAACACCGGCGCGCCAUUCCUGUGGGUGGUCAGGGCCUCGGAGACGUCCAAGAUCCCGGACGGCUUCGCCGACAAGGUGGGAGAGAACGGGCUGAUCGUGCCGUGGACGGCGCAGCUGGAGGUGCUGGCGCACGGCGCCGUGGGGUGCUUCGUGACGCACUGCGGGUGGAACUCGACAACGGAGGCGCUGAGCGCCGGGGUGCCGAUGGUGGCGGUGCCGCACUGGUCGGACCAGCCGACGAACGCCAAGUACAUCGAGGACGUGUGGCGCGUCGGCGCGCGCGCGCGGCCGGACGCGGGUGGGGUGGUGAGGCGGGAGGAGGUGGAGCGGUGCGUGAAGGAGGUGAUGGGGAGCGAGCAGUACCGGACGAGGGCGGCGGAGUGGAGUGGGAAGACGAAGGCGGCCAUGAGCGAAGGCGGGAGCUCCGACUGCAACAUCGUGGAGUUUCUCCGUGGACUCGGGUCGAGGAAAUCCGAGCGGUCCGGAGCGGCGGAAGAUCUGUAGUUUCGUGCUGUUUCUCGUGGGAAAUCUGCUGUCCGUCGUUUGAUGUCUCGUGUCAUUUUUCUCUGAACGUGAGUAUUAGCGAGAGCUUCCUGUUGAAUUUCUCUGAA